rnacentral:rRNA from 1 species
CUAAGGUAGCAUAAUAACUCGCCUUUUUAUUGAUGGAUAGAAUAAACGGUCAAACGUAUAGGGCCUACUCUUAAAAUACAUACAAUAAUUUUUUUCAAAUGUAAAAAAACAUCUAUUAUCUAGAGGGACGAUAAGACCCUAAAAUCUGUCUAUAAAAAUAAAUCUUAGAAAUACACUGUAUAAGACUUGCUGGGGCGGCAAAUACUCCUAACAAACUAUAUCAUUACGCUUUUGGCGAAUUAUAACUAUCCUUUUGAGAAUAUAAAGAUACUUUAGGGAUAACAGCAUAACUUCUCUUCAGAGCUC